rnacentral:rRNA from 1 species
GAUGAACGCUGGCGGCGUGCUUAACACAUGCAAGUCGAACGGGAAACCUUUUAUUGAAGCUUCGGCAGAUUUAGCUGGUUUCUAGUGGCGGACGGGUGAGUAACGCGUGGGUAACCUGCCCUAUACAGGGGGAUAACAACCAGAAAUGGUUGCUAAUACCGCAUAAGCGCACAGGGCCGCAUGGUCCGGUGUGAAAAACUCCGGUGGUAUAGGAUGGACCCGCGUUGGAUUAGCCAGUUGGCAGGGUAACGGCCUACCAAAGCGACGAUCCAUAGCCGGCCUGGGAGGGUGAACGGCCACAUUGGGACUGAGACACGGCCCAGACUCCUACGGGAGGCAGCAGUGGGGAAUAUUGCACAAUGGGGGAAACCCUGAUGCAGCGACGCCGCGUGAAGGAAGAAGUAUCUCGGUAUGUAAACUUCUAUCAGCAGGGAAGAUAGUGACGGUACCUGACUAAGAAGCCCCGGCUAACUACGUG